rnacentral:tRNA from 1 species
GGCCGGUUAGCUCAGUCGGUUAGAGCGUGGUGCUGGUAACACCAAGGUCGAGGGUCGAGGGUCGAAGGUUCGAUUCCUGUUCGGUCC